rnacentral:rRNA from 1 species
AGAUUGAACGCUGGCGGUAUGCUUAACACAUGCAAGUCGAACGGCAGCACAGGGUAGCUUGCUAUCCGGGUGGCGAGUGGCGGACGGGUGAGUAACGCGUAGGAAUCUACCUUUUCGUGGGGGAUAACCCGGGGGAAACUCGGGCUAAUACCGCAUACGCCCUACGGGGGAAAGCGGGGGACCUUCGGGCCUCGCGCGAAACGAUGAGCCUGCGUCCUAUCAGGUAGUUGGUGAGGUAAUGGCUCACCAAGCCCGACGACGGGUAGCUGGGUCUGAGAGGACGA